rnacentral:sRNA from 1 species
UUUUUUAACAAGCACACUUGAUCCUUUUGUUCAUCAGCAACAUACCCUUCAGGUUGCUCCAUGUAAAGUGGCUGGUCCAGAUCACCAUGCAAGAACGCAGUCUUAACAUCCAUUUGUUCCAAUUCUAGAUCUUCUUGAACAACAAUAGACAUCAAGAUUCUUAUCGACACAUGCUUGACUACAGGUGCAAACACUUCAUCAUAGUCGAUUCCUUUUCUCUGAGUAAAGCCUCUUGCUACUAGUCUGGCUUUGUAUCUUUCAGGUUCCACACCGGGAAUUCCUGGUUUCUUCUUGUACAGCCAUCUACAACUGAUGAUUUUCUGAUUCUUGGGAUGGUCUACUAUAUCCCAUGUAUAGUUUUUCAAUAGUGACUGCAUUUCAUCUCCCAUUCCUGCAUUCCAUUUUUCCCACUCUUUGGUUUCUUUAGCUUCAUGAUAACAGCUAGGUUCUUCACUGCUGUCCAUAUCUUCAGCUGCCAUAAGAGCAUAUGCAAAUUGAGAGUAAUCAGAGAAUCUUAUAGGUGCUCUGAUUUGCCUUCUAACCCGAUCUCUAGCUAACUGAUAAUUGCUCAGUCUUUCACUGCUUGCUGGAGCUUCUCCUUCGGGUUCAAAAUACUCUGACUCAUCAUCACUAGAUGAAACAUCAACUGUUCCACCUGCAACAGAACUCUCACCAACCUGCUGUUGGUUACUUACUAUUUCAGAGACAGUCUUUUCUGCUUGAGUAAUCUUCUCUGCUCUUUCUUCUUGUUCAGACUUCUCUUUUAACUGCAAAUCCUUAUACACCAAGUCCUCAUGAAAUAUCACAUUUCGACUGAUAACACAUUUCAUUUCUUCUAAGAGCCAGAUCUUGUAUCCCUUAGUGCCUUGCGGAUAACCGAGGAA